CCCUACCAUCUACAGCAAUCCAAAAGCUCCACGCCUCCAUCGUUUUCAUUCGCAGCCUCCUCCCAAUCACCGCCGCCCACAUCCUACCCGGGGUCGGCGCCGUCCUCUCCUUUCAUGGCCGCCGUGGCGCGUAGCCCUGUACUACAAUGCAGGAAGCCUUCCUCCCCCUCCUCUCCGGUGGUGUACCUCACCACCACACGACCGUCUCCUUGCCCGCCGCCUCCACUGCCACAUCACCUGUCUCGCCCAGCGCCGCCACCUACAAGCGGCCGCAUCCCGCGAAUCCACUGCUCGCACGUUCUCUGGCUCGCCCAUAACGACUCCUCAUGUGUACAUCAUCGCCCUCAUGAAGCAUCUGGAUCUUAUAGGGUUGGGUUGGGGCUCGCCAUGGAGGAGGUCACGCAUGCUGCUGGGUCGGAGUGCAUCAUAAUCUUGGGGACUCGGCGCCCUCCUCGCCCCCAGCCGCCGUGGCGCGUCCCAAUCGGGGCCCUCUUCUCCUUCACAAGCGGCGGCAUCCGCUUCUCCCCCUCCCGACGCUGGUGGCCGCACGGUGGAGUUCGGAGCCCUCCGCUGCCCGGCGGAUGGCGGCUCGGAGGACGAGUUCGGCGCCCCCCUCUUCUUUCUGAGUCAGAGCGGUUAUGGGAGAAUUCGACGGGGCCGGUGCUCGUGCAUGCGAGCAGAAAGGCAUGGCCUCAAGGACAAGGCUGACCUAGGACGCUCAAACAAAACUGUGAUGAGCGAUGACCGCUCUUUAAUUCACUUAUGAGCUGGCUCUACGUAUGGUAAGAUGGGUUACCCUCUUCAAUUAUUUGGUACCUCUCCAAUGCUGCCUCCUAUUAUUCACUUUUAUCACCAUGGCCGCCAGGAGGUGUGGAGUUACCCCCAGUUCAGUGGCUAUUUUUCCCGUGAAAAUGCAGCUUGUGGCAAAAUAUACAUAAUCUAUUUUCUUCUUUCAUUGCAAUCCAACUUCGUGAACAAUUAAACGUGUUUUCUAUAUUCAGCGUCAUGCACCUUUACAUCCAUAUUGAAUUUUUGCAGUUAACCAUGACAGGCUAUGACUAUGAGUAUAGAGCAACCUCAGUUCAGCGGUUAAUUUUUCUGUCAGAAUCCAAUUAGUGAGAAAACAAUAUAGUCUCUUUUAAAUUUGAUUGCACCCAUGCAUGAUGGAUAUGUCUGAACUUGGAACUACGCCAGUUCAAUAUCUGUUUUUCGCAUGAGAAUUCAUGGCAAGGUAUAUUAAAUCUACUUCUCCAACUUAUUGUAAUCUAGCUUUAUAGUGGAUUGCAUGUAUUAAUCCUGCACCAUGCUAAGUAGUUGUGUUCUUUACAUGGGAACUUCAUGAAGAAUAAAGUUUGGUUGCAGAUCUUUUCUUCACUUUUUUUGUUUAUUGACUUCCAGCUCUCUAUUUAGGAAUUGCAUGGUGUAUGAUUUUGUGAGUUUUCAGGUUCCAGAUUCAAAUGGAGCCUGUCGCUGCAUUGUUUGGUAGGUCGAGUGCGUAUACCUGAAGGUGCCUGCUGCAGGCAACAUCUUUAUGCUCUCUUCCUCUGGCUGGUGGGCCAGAUUAGCUCGCAAUGUCUCUCAGCGCGCAAGAAGGCAUUUUGUGCAGGUUUAUAUUGAGGUGCAUUUACGAUGAGCACAUUUCGAGCUAAUCAAAAGCGUUCUAACUGCUAUAAGGUUCAGAUUGUGGAAAAGUAGCCCGUCGCUGCAUUGUUUUAUUGGUCGAGUGGGCCUAUUUCAUUAAGCAUGCAAUCUUUACGCCAUGGUUAUAUGGUGGAUACUCAAAAGAGACAGUUGUAUGUGAUUGCAUAGUGUUUGGAGUGGUCAAACCGGAAUCAUCUUUAGUGUAUUAUUCAGCUCGCCAAAUUGCAAGGUUCUUGCGCCAUCAACAUUAUAAUAGACAGGGAAACGACCUUCAUAACUAUGGGCCACCGGAAUUUAGGCUCUUGAUUGAAUCUAUUGCCUCUUUAAGAAAAUUGGACAAACCUUUUGAAGAACUCUGUAUGUUAAUUUUUCCUAUUGUCAACUGGAGAAAUUCUGUAGUUGUGGUAUACCUAUAACUGAAUGUUUUCGUGUAUAAAAUCAGAGAAGUCGCCAUUGUUAUACA